rnacentral:tRNA from 1 species
UUAAUUGAAGCCAAAUUAGAGGCAAAUUAUUGUUAAUAAUUUAAUUGAAUUAAAAUUCCAAUUAAU